UCCCCACCUGGCCCGCGCUCACCUUGAGGCCGCGGAUCUCGCCGAGGUGCAGCUGCAGGCGGCGGUUCACCUCGCGGAUGAGGUUGCUGUGGUCCAGCAUCGCGCUCACCUUCUCCGCCUCGGCGCGCCGCAGGCUGCGGAUCAGCUCCUCCUUGCUCCACUGCAGCAGCUCCUCGUCCGACACUUUGGACAGGUCCUCCACCGGCGCGGGCGGGGCCGCGGACGAGCCGGCCGGGGCUGGGGAACAACUUUCCGCCGCCGCCGCAGCCGCCGCCGCGCCUCCGGCCGCCUUCGACAUGGAGAAGAGCUAACCUUGGGUAGCUGCUGUUCCUUCAGUCUGAGCCACACACUCAGCCACCCCAGCCAACCUGAAGAUCUGCAGCAUGAAGCAGAGCUAUGCUCACAGACUCACAGAUCUGUGUGUGAGAAAACAAGACUGUUGUUUAAGCUACCGACUUUUGGGGAGAUUUAUUGUGCAGCAUUACUAAUGCAAUAGUUAGCAGAUACAACUCCCCUGCCUAAAUCCCUUUGGGGGCAUCUCAGCACCUUUCUGUGGAGUGAAGCUACAUUUCUUAGCAGAGCAUGUAAGAUGGACACAGUCUGAUGCUUGCUUACUUUUUCAGCUCCAACUCCUACCAUACUUUGCCUGCCUCAUAUUUCAUACUUUUUCAGUUCUAAACUGCCUUGUAGCUCCCUGUCAGCAUUCAAUAUACCUCCGUACCACACUGAUGCUCUUUUCUCAUGCAUGAAAUGCCUUCCUUGCCUUAUCCUUCUGAAUAACUUCCAACCAGAUCCUUCAAAAGGCAUCAUCUUAUCCAGAGUGCUGGCAUCAGCCCACAUUUCCCUGGCAGAGGCAAAGGUACUAUGGCAGAAAUGGCCAGGGAAGGGUUUAUCUAACCACCAGGAGUACGCAAAGAAGAGAGGUCCAGCCAGCCUGCCUCUCAGAUUGUUAAGAUGCCAGGUGUCUUUUGGCUCAUGGAAACAGCUGUUCUGCCCCCUCCCGAACCCUAGACUCACAGCUACACUCUAUGGGGAAAGGACAAAGGGAAGGCUGCUUCCUGAAGAGAUCUCCAUAUGGAAGAGCUGCAGAUCACAAACAACCCACACAGCCAUUGUAACGCCUGCUUGCCUGGUCACUUGUGUUUCUGAGAAGCCAUAACUCCAAGAAUAGCGAAGGGAAGAAAAUGCCAAAAAGCAGGGGCUGCCUAACAGGUCUGACUUGCAAGGCAAACUCCUGGCAGGCCUGGCCAGCUUCUGCUUGUCCCAGUGCAAUCCCACCCCCAUAGGAUCUGGAAUUUUUCAGUCCCUUUGCUAAGAUUCCUGAAAUAGACUUAAUGAAGAGCCUCAGAAGUGAAAAUUCCUCUUCACACAUUUGCUCAAGAAGAUUGCUUUUCUCCUAACACAGAAAUCAGCUGCCUUGAGGAUGUGCAAGUUUGAUUAGGGAGUCUGCUCUUGCCUAUUUCUCAAACGGUUCAGGCCCUGACAGAAUCAGUGUCACCCCUAAGAAUGAAACCUUCCAAGGGGCCAUGAUCAUAUUGUGACUGGACAAGAACUAUCAUGGAUGAGGCACAUCAUCUUUUGGAACCAUCUAUGGAACAGAUAUUAUUAUUCCAUUUUGCGGAAGAGGAAUCUGAGGCUCAGGCCAGACAGAUGCAGCUAACGUUGAGUGGCAUCCUGAUGAUCACCUUCAUCACAAAAGGAAGGAGUGCUCUGAGGACUGUAGGUGGCUCUCAGAACCCUGACCUCCACGGCAGCCAUCAAGGAGUGGCAAAGGGGGUCCACAGUGGCAUAUGCAGUGAGAUCCAAGUUUUAGGCAUUCGGAGUAGAGCAAGCCACGAAUGAGAACAGGUUCUGAAAGUGACAGAAAAGGAGUCACUUUUUUGGUUCCAUAUGAACUUUAAGGUAGUUUUUUCCCAGUUCUGUGAAGAAAGUCAUUGGUAGCUUGAUGGGGAUGGCAUUGAAUCUAUAAAUUACCUUGGACAGUAUGGCCAUUUUCAUGAUAUUGAUUCUUCCUACCCAUGAGCAUGGAAUGUUCUUCCAUUUGUUUGUAUCCUCUUUUAUUUCCUUGAGCAGUGGUUUGUAGUUAUCCUUGAAGAGGUUCUUCACAUCCCUUGUAAGUUGGAUUCCUAGGUAUUUUAUUCUCUUUGAAGCAAUUGUGAAUGGGAGUUCACUCAUGAUUUGGCUCUCUGUUUGUCUGUUGUUAGUGUAUAAGAAUGCUUGUGAUUUUUGUACAUUGAUUUUGUAUCCUGAGACUUUGCUGAAGUUGCUUAUCAGCUUAAGGAGAUUUUGGGCUGAGACAAUGGGGUUUUCUAGAUAUACAAUCAUGUCAUCUGCAAACAGGGACAAUUUGACUUCCUCUUUUCCUAAUUGAAUACCCUUUAUUUCCUUGUCCUGCCUAAUUGCCCUGGCCAGAACUUCCAACACUAUGUUGAAUAGGAGUGGUGAAAGAGGACAUCCCUGUCUUGUGCCAGUUUUCACAGGGAAUGCUUCCAGUUUUUGCCCAUUCAGUAUGAUAUUGGCUGUGGGUUUGUCAUAGAUAGCUCUUAUUAUUUUGACAUACGUCCCAUCAAUACCUAAUUUAUUGAGAGUUUUUAGCAUGAAGCGUUGUUGAAUUUUGUCAAAGGCCUUUUCUGCAUCUAUUGAGAUAAUCAUGUGGUUUUUGUCUUUGGUUCUGUUUAUAUGCUGGAUUACAUUUAUUGAUUUGUGUAUAUUGAACCAGCCUUGCAUCCCAGGGAUGAAGCCCACUUGAUCAUGGUGGAUAAGCUUUUUGAUGUGCUGCUGGAUUCGGUUUGCCAGUAUUUUAUUGAGGAUUUUUGCAUCAAUGUUCAUCAGGGAUAUUGGUCGAAAAUUCUCUUUUUUGGUUGUAUCUCUGCCCGGCUUUGGUAUCAGGAUGAUGCUGGCCUCAUAAAAUGAGUUAGGGAGUAUUCCCUCUUUUUCUAUUGAUUGGAAUAUCACCAAGUCCAUCCUAAGCCAAAAGAACAAAGCUGGAGGCAUCACACUACCUGACUUCAAACUAUACUACAAGGCUACAGUAACCAAAACAGCAUGGUACUGGUACCAAAACAGAGAUAUAGAUCAAUGGAACAGAACAGAGCCCUCAGAAAUAACACCGCAUAUCUACAAUUAUCUGAUCUUUGACAAACCUGACAAAAACAAGCAAUGGGGAAAGGAUUCCCUAUUUAAUAAAUGGUGCUGGGAAAACUGGCUAGCCAUAUGUAGAAAGCUGAAACUGGAUCCCUUCCUUACACCUUAUACAAAAAUCAAUUCAAGAUGGAUUAAAGACUUAAACGUUAGACCUAAAACCAUAAAAACCCUAGAAGAAAACCUAGGCAUUACCAUUCAGGACAUAGGCAUAGGCAAGGACUUCAUGUCUAAAACACCAAAAGCAGUGGCAACAAAAGCCAAAAUUGACAAACGGGAUCUAAUUAAGCUAAAGAGCCUCUGCACAGCAAAAGAAACUACCAUCAGA
rnacentral:lncRNA from 1 species